rnacentral:rRNA from 1 species
CACGGGGGGAGCAAGCGUUGUCCGGAUUCAUUGGGCGUAAAGAGCGUGUAGGCGGCCAGGUAGGUCGGGUGUGAAAACUGGAGGCUCAACCUUCAGAGGUCGACCGAAACCAUCUGGCUAGAGUCCGGGAGAGGAGAGUGGAAUUCCUGGUGUAGCGGUGAAAUGCGCAGAUAUCAGGAAGAACACCCGUGGCGAAAGCGGCUCUCUGGAACGGUACUGACGCUGAGACGCGAAAGCGUGGGGAGCGAACAGG